AGCAAACACGCUGCCCUCCAGCCUCCGGCUCUUUAAAGGGACAGGGUUGCUGCAAGGUGUGAACGCAAACCCAGGUCCAAGGGCGUUGGUGGAAUGAGCCGGGCCGGGAGAACUGGGCUCCGGGACCAGCGAGCGGGCACCUUGCAGGUGUGUGGGCGGGGUGCUUCCUGCAUCCGCUGACUCCGGCUCUGGCUGGUGGGUGCGUAGCAACCUUGGAAGAUUUUCUCCACCCGAAUAUACCACUGAGCCUCGCUUCCUCCUCGCACUCCGUUUCCGCCUCCCCCUUCCAGAUAUUUGUGUGAUGAUUUUCCAGCCUCGGGCUCUGCGGAACUCCUUUGUGUGGCAGACGUUUAAAUGUGUUUAUGUACCCAGCAAGUUCAUCUCUUUCUUGGAUGUUCUCUCGGGUAGAUGAAGAGCUCACGUUUCUUCUCUGUCUGAAUGAAGAACUGAGCAGGGAUAAGCCCCGCUCAAGUUCAUGCUAAGAUCUCUGCGCCUUUGGCCUCCAUUCCGUGCCAGAGGCUGGCCGGCUCGGGACCCGUGUGGACAGACUGGACACGAAGGCUGAGUUCGCUGCCCACGAAGCAUCCCCAGGAAUGCCGGCCAUCCCGAUAAAGCUAGUAUUUGC
rnacentral:lncRNA from 1 species